rnacentral:rRNA from 1 species
UACGUAGGGGUCAAGCGUUGUUCGGAAUUAUUGGGCGUAAAGGGCGCGUAGGCGGUUUGUUAAGUCGGCUGUGAAAGCCCGGGGCUCAACCCCGGAGGGUCAGCCGAUACUGGCAGACUAGAGUACGGAAGAGGUAGCUGGAAUUCCCGGUGUGGCGGUGAAAUGCGUAGAUAUCGGGAGGAACACCUGAGGCGAAGGCGGGCUACUGGGCCGAUACUGACGCUGAUGCGCGAAAGCCAGGGGAGCGAACGGG